UAACUGCGUGCAGACGUGUGAACUGCAGGACACAUGAACACCGACGUUUUGAACGCAUAUGGCGGUUUGAAAUAACUUUCAAACCAUGUCUGGCUGAGGGUCGGAUAUAAAACAAAAACCAAAGUUGCAACUUUGAAAGAAGUUGUCUAAAAAAACUUUAAAAAUACGCCUAGUAUCUAUGAGCAAUCGUAAUGCUAGGUUAGAUUUUUGGUGUUCUUAAAGUACCCAUAAUUACAUGAGUUUAAUGUUUAUUUAUGUUGGACCGAAUGAGCACCAAAUAAAAAAAUACAAAAAAUAUCUAAGAGAGUAAAAUCUUUUAAAUAUUAUCAUUUGCGACCUCAGAGUAGGCAAGAUUACCCGCUAAAUUUAA
rnacentral:misc_RNA from 1 species